rnacentral:rRNA from 1 species
UACGUAGGGUGCAAGCGUUGUCCGGAAUCAUUGGGCGUAAAGCGCGUGUAGGCGGUUCCGUAAGUCCGCUCUGAAAGCCCCAGGGCUCAACCCUGGGAGGCGGGUGGAUACUACGGAACUGGAGUACGGAAGAGGAGAUUGGAAUUCCUGGUGUAGCGGUGAAAUGCGCAGAUAUCAGGAGGAACACCGGUGGUGUAAACGGCUUUCUGGACCAUAACUGACGCUGAGGCACGAAAGCGUGGGUAGCAAACAGG